UCAUGUAUUAGUUCUGUUGCUGACAUAA
rnacentral:piRNA from 1 species